rnacentral:rRNA from 1 species
ACACAAAACAACUUUCAACAACGGAUCUCUUGGCUCUCGCAUCGAUGAAGAACGCAGCGAAAUGCGAUAAGUAAUGUGAAUUGCAGAAUUCAGUGAAUCAUCGAAUCUUUGAACGCACCUUGCGCUCCUUGGUAUUCCGAGGAGCAUGCCUGUUUGAGUGUCUUGAAGUCAUCAACCCCACCCGUUUCGUGCGGCGUGAGGGUUGGACGUGGGGGCCUGCUGCCGCGAGGCUGCUCCCCUCAAAUGCAUCGGUUGGGCCUGUGGGUCGAACUCGACUGGGCGUUGUACCAUCCUCGCUCUCACCGAGAAGUUCCCCUUCCGUGCCCUCCCACGACCUGCCUCUGGAGCGGCGGUCAAGCAAAACUUUGAAAUCUGACCUCAAAUCGGGUAGGACUACCCGCUGAACUUAAGCAUAUCAAUAAGCGGAGGAAAAGAAACUAACAAGGAUUCCCCUAGUAACUGCGAGUGAAGCGGGAAAAGCUCAAAUUUGAAAUCUGGCGGUUAUGCCGUCCGAGUUGUAUUCUGGAGAAGCGUCUUCCGUGC